rnacentral:rRNA from 1 species
AUUGAACGCUGGCGGCAGGCCUAACACAUGCAAGUCGAACGCGUGGCGGACGGGAGAGUAAUGUCUGGGAAACUGCCUGAUGGAGGGGGAUAACUACUGGACACGGUAUCUAAUACCGCAUACCAUCGGAUGUGCCCAGAUGGGAUGAGCUUGUUGGUGGGGUAACGGCUCACAAAGGCGACGAUCCCUAGCUGGUCUGAGAGGAUGACCAGCCACACUGGAACUGAGACACGGUCCAGACUCCUACGGGAGGCAGCAGUGGGGAAUAUUGGACAAUGUGCGCAAGCCUGAUGCAGCCAUGCCGCGUGUAUGAAGAAGGCCUUCGGGUUGUAAAGUACUUUCAGCGGGGAGGCGUUACCCGCAGAAGAAGCACCGGCUAACUCCGUGCCAGCAGCCGCGGUAAUAC